UCCCUCUGGUUUAGGUGAGAUUGAUCCCAUUCUGAUCCCAUUCUGAUUCAGUAGGUCUAGGUGAAGCCCAAUACCCCUGCUCCAAGCGGGGCACUUAUGCCAGCCUAGGCCAUUGAUUACCCUGGAAUGUUCAUGUGACUUAAGAGAGUCAGCUCCAGGACUUUUGCUGACUCUGUUGUGAGAGGGACUUUCUGCUGCGAAUGCCAAGUGGAUGGUAUGUAAGUCUGGAGCUGCUCCUGGCUUAUUUUGUGAAAGCUUACGGGAGAAUGAAGCCAUCUAGAAGAGAUCCGUUUGAGCAAUGAAGAAGAAGAUUCCGGAGGACGUUGAGCAUAUGGAUCCAGCUGCAGCUGAAACUGACACUGCCCUGGGACUUUGCAGAAUGAAUGACAAACUAUGGCGCUUGCCCAAGUUUCAUACAGUCAUGGAGAAGAACUAGCACCACAGGGCAUCUGGUGCCUAUUCCUCAACACAGAUGUAUCUCGAAUAGAUCGCUCCAGAGAGUGAGCUUCUGCUGCUUCAAAACAGCGUGCGGGAAUCGGAGACAUUACAUCAGGAAGUUACUGCAGAGAGAUUCUACUCCAUCUCAUUCAUUGUACAGG